GUGUGCUGUAAAAGCCUGGGCAU
rnacentral:piRNA from 1 species